rnacentral:rRNA from 1 species
UGGGGAAUAUUGCGCAAUGGGCGGAAGCCUGACGCAGCAACGCCGCGUGCGGGAUGACGGCCUUCGGGUGUAAACCGCUUUCAGCAGGGUACGAAGCGUGAGUGACGGUACCUGCAGAAGAAGCACCGGCCAACUACGUGCCAGCAGCCGCGGUGAUACGUAGGGUGCGAGCGUUGUCCGGAAUUAUUGGGCGUAAAGAGCUCGUAGGUGGUUGAUCGCGUCGAAAGUGAAAUCUCAGGGCUUAACCCUGAGCGUGCUUUCGAUACGGGUCGACUAGAGGAAGGUAGGGGAGAAUGGAAUUCCUGGUGGAGCGGUGGAAUGCGCAGAUAUCAAGAGGAACACCAGUGGCGAAGGCGGUUCUCUGGACCUUU